ensembl:lincRNA
AAAAAAAAAUCCUGAGGAGCUAGAUAUACAUCUGCCUAAGAGGUUUAGGUGAAGCUAUGCCUAGCACAAAUUGGGGCAUUUAUACUGGGAAAAAAACAAAUGAACUCUUAAGUUAUCAGCAUUAGUAUCAUUUAAAGAACAAGGCUGAAAAAAGAGAUGAAUGGAUAAAUUGAAAAACAGAGAGCACAGGCUCCAACUGAGCUCUAAAUUAGGAGAUGAAGAACUAUUCAGCUUAAACAGCUUCCCUGCCAAGAAGAAUGAUUUUCCAACCACUACUAACCAGCAAAUGCAGCAUGUUUCUGUGGCCAUAGGUCAAGCUGGAAAACAUUUUUCCAUAAAACCAUGUGCAAUUUCAUGCCAUAGGUGAAAGAAUAGCCCAAAUCCACAAGGUACUGUUAUGUCCUACAAAUUCUUUCACUCAGUCAUUAUUGAUGUGAUUUACAAUUAAUACGUGAUUGUUUUACGUUACAUUAUAUCGUAACACUGUAUUACAUUAUACCAUGCAAAGCCCAAUUAAUGUAUUCUUUUUUAUAUGCAUUGUCAGCAGAAUCUACUAAAGCCUUGAGUGUAUAUGAUGUGUGUUGUGGGCUGAAUUUUGUCCCUCCAAAAUUUUUAUGUUGAAGCCCUAAUUUCUGGAACCUCCGAAUAUGACUGUAUUUAGAGAUAAGACCUUUAAAGAGGCAAUUCAAUUAAAAAUAAGACCAUUAGGUUGAACCCUAAUCUAUUCUGACUGGUGUCCUUAUAUUAAGAGGGAAUUUGGAUGUACAAACAGAACCAAGGAGGUGCAGAACCAGAAGAAAGAUCAUGUGAGAACACCGCUCUAAGUAUCUGCAAGCCAUGGAGAGAGACUUCAAAAGAAACUGAACUCUGACAACACCUCUAUCUCGCUCUUCUAGCC